GCAAGGUCUGGGUCUUACAGGUUGCGGGAGAAACCAUUUUGCGGGUGAGAAAUCAAAACAAGGUAUUAAUUUGAAACACUGUCACAGGAAGCCGGAGCGUACCCGUCAAGCAACGAGCACAAGACAGGGUACAACGUGGACACCGCUCCAGCGCAGAGCAAGUACAAGCCAAUCAUACUUGGGGACAAUUUGGAGGCCACGAGAGCUCGGUCUUUAUGAGCGUCUCUUGAGGCACAGAUGAGCCGAGACUAUGGAAGAUUGAGCUUGAACUCUGCUAAGAAGAUUGAAACGGUUGUCCACUGUGGGAUGCCACCCUACGAUAUUCCGGACAGAAGAGCUUUGGGAUGUACUGUAGCAAGAGAAGACCCUGUCAUCCAUGGAAUGUAAGUGAACUUGAGGGGCAUCUAGAAGACCAGAGUCAGACGAACGAAGGUUGUGAGACCGGGAGUAGACAUAAUAAGUCAGACAGGUAUUAGAUCAACCUUCCUAAAAUCAAAUUGGUAAGAUACAAAUGUAAGCAAAAAAACUGAAAAAAAUAUUUUUCCUGCAGUGUCACAGAUACAGUACAAAUAUAGAUCAGGAGUAUGUACAUUUACACAAAGAUAGACAUACAAAUGCCAGACAGAAAGAAGAAACAAACCAACUGUUGUUUAACUGUAGCACUUAGAGUCAUGACAUUUGGCUAAGUUUGAAGUCAUUGAGAUAUCCUGAAGUCCAGAAAUACCAUAGAGGUACAUUAACUUCAUGACUGGGAUUUAAAAGAGCAAAUGUCCCAAACACUUCUGUUAAUAGAAGUCUCCAUAUUUUUGUAGAUUUUUGUUUUGUAUUGUUACGG